UGGCAGGCAGCCCAACUUUGUUUCAUUGAUUUCAGACCUUUGCGCUCCUGUCGCCUUUGCGGAUUUGUAGGGUGGAAGAAAACACAGACAGUCGGACAUUCAUUUAUCCGAAGUGUGGAGAUUAAAAACGAAAACUAAAAAGUUUGAGAGUGAGAAAACUUUUAUCUGGAGUCAUGUGUCAACGUUAUGAGUGGAGACUAAAGAAAAGGGAGUCAGAGCCGGGAUGUUACUGCGUAAAAGUUCGCAAAAUGUGGGACCACCAACUGAUGGAAGGAGGCAGGGUGCAGUUUCCUCAGCGCAGCGAGGUCUGGCUGCCAGAGAGGCUGCGGAGUGCACUGGCUGUGGCCUCUGCUGACUGGCUUUCCACACAGCGUCUGUGGAGGCAGAGAUAAGCGAUUUAUGGAGGGGGCUGGAGAAUAUCUCAGCUGUCGUGGGGGAAGAGGGAGGACACACCCUGGACAAGACGUCAGUCUGUCCCAGGCAGGCAACAGGCAACCAUUCAAUCCCACAACCAAUUUAGAAUCACCAAUUAAACUAACCCAUGCAUGUUUUUGGACUGUGGGAGGAUGCUGGAGUACCCAGAAAGAACCCACACAAGCACAGGCAGAACAUGCAAUCACCAAACAGAAAGGCCAGAGCCACGAAUUGAACCUAGGAUCUUUUUACUGUGAGGCAACAGUGCUAACCACCAUCACCACUGCACCAGCCCAACUAAACUCAUGACAGGAAGUAGCUCCCCCUAAUUUCUACCUAAUGCUUAAUUCAUGGUCACCACAUUGGUUGCUGCAUGUGCCAGCUGUGACAUCAUCACAGAAUCAUCACUAUUCAGUUGAUUCAUACUAAAUUUUUUGCAGUCUUCUGAGCGACAGGUGUCAAAGGAACAAGUGAAGAAACACUUUAUAAUAUGUAUGUGUCUAAGGGUGUACUUCCCCUGUUAUUGAAUGGAAUUUCAAAGUAUUUUAUCUGAAACUAAAAUGUAUAUAUAUUUACCUACAAAUACGUAAAGGUACCCCACAAUAAUAGGGUAAAGUAAAAGUAAAGUAAGACCGUUUAAAUAGUGUGUAAGUAAUUUUAAUUAAUUCAUUAGCAAUUUUACAUAGCUUCAGGUAUUUUACAAGAAAGAAGAAAUAAUUACAUUGAAGGUCAAUUUAGGUAAUGCAUAAAUAAUUAAAUAAGUGAAUAGGAAAGAAGUGCCUAAAUUCUGGCUACUUUACAGGAAAGGAGACACACACAAUACUAUAAGCAAUUUUAAGUAACUUCAUGUAUUUUACAGGAAAGAAAAAAUAAUUAGAUUGUAAGUAAUUUAGGUACUGCAUAAGUAUUUUUAAGUAGUACAUCUAGGUAUGGUGUAUAUUUGUCCAUGAUGGAUGUUAUAUUUU
ensembl:lncRNA